rnacentral:rRNA from 1 species
GUUCGGUGACUGCGUACCUUUUGUAUAAUGGGUCAGCGACUUACAUUCAGUAGCAAGGUUAACCGCAUAGGGGAGCCGUAGAGAAAUCGAGUCUUAAUAGGGCGAUCAGUUGCUAGGUGUAGACCCGAAACCCGGUGAUCUAUCCAUGGCCAGGUUGAAGGUGGGGUAAUACCUACUGGAGGACCGAACCCACUUAUGUUGAAAAAUGAGGGGAUGACUUGUGGUUAGGGGUGAAAGGCCAAUCAAACCAAGUAAUAGCUGGUUCUCCGCGAAAUCUAUUUAGGUAGAGCGUUGCGUAUUGCUGCGGGGGGUAGAGCACUGGAUGGGCUAGGGGGUCGCGAGAUCUACCAAACCUAACCAAACUCCGAAUACCAACGAGUCUUAUCCGGCAGACAGACGGCGGGUGCUAAGGUCCGUCGUCGAAAGGGAAACAGCCCAGACCGCCAGCUAAGGUCCCUAAAUCACGUGCUAAGUGGGAAAGGAUGUGGGACGGCCAUGACAACCAGGAGGUUGGCUUAGAAGCAGCCACCCUUUAAAGAGUGCGUAAUAGCUCACUGGUCAAGUGAUUCCGCGCCGACAAUGUAGCGGGGCUCAAGUCAUCCGCCGAAGCUAUGGCAUUCAGC